rnacentral:lncRNA from 1 species
AUGGAACGGCGCCUGCCGGGCCCGCCCCCACCGCUCGGGCCGGGAACGCCGCAGGGGGGCGCUGCAGCCGCAGAGGGCAGUGGCCGUUGCGACGGGAGGGGCGAUGGGCGCGGCUGAGCGCCGCCUCGGUGGGGCGCGGGGCUGAGGCGAGCGAGGUGGUGGACGGUUCUCUCGGCCCGGCGGCUCUCACUGGAAGACUUAAGGAUUUCAAGGAACAGGAAAAUCUUCACACUAUAUUGUCACUACAAGACUAAAAACGUACUAAGCAAUCAAGUGUUAAGUAAAAUCCUGAAGGCCAAAAGAUGCAAGCCAUGAAACUUUAGCACACCGUUAUUCAACAAAGCGCUCGAGUUUUUCAUUGAGACUUGUGUGUGGACUUAACUGUUAGAGCUUACAACGCCUUGCAGGUAGCAGCAAAAGCUUAAAAUAAUGUUUUGCCCCACCGCCUAGCAGUGAGAUAGAAAGCACUGCUAUGCAACGCAAUGGUGGGAGAGUUUGGAAAUUGUUCCAGUGAGGAUGUCAGAGAAGUUGUUGAGAAAGAAUGGCUGAUGAAGAGCUGCCAAGCUGGAAUAUGAAAUAGCUUUUUAUAUUCCUUAGAAAGGUAACUGCUGCCUAACGCAUUGACCUUGGGCUGGAUUCCAGGUGUGAAAGGGUUUUGCUACGUCUUCUUCUCAACAUAAAGAGAAGUGACAGACGCAGAGGUAGCCAGGGAGCUGAGCAUGCACACAAGGGCAGUAGCUAUGACCUUGCCAUCUUUUGUGAAGAGGAGAAGCCCUCAGCUAUGCAGGAAAGGCUGCUGGUCUUUGGUACUUAAUACACGGGUUAGAUGGAGCCCAGUGAUACCCCCAAAGCUGCUUUUCUUCCACUCUCAGGCAUUUGAGUUGGCAAGCUCAGCCUUUUUUACUUGUUGCAUUAAAAAUAAGCAAUCAAACUAUCUUAUCAACUUUUCCCUGUGAUCUUAUUCCUCGUGGUCUCCACUGAAUCAGACAUCAAUAAGGUGAGUUUUGCUCAGACUAAAAAGAGAUUUGUCUGCAAGCGCAGUUUAUGAUAAUUAGGGGAAAAACAAGUUGGACAGGAUGCUGAAGAGAAAAUUGAGGCCUGGUAAUACGUGCAAACAGGGAGAGCUGUUGUUGUUUUUCAUCUUAGUGUUUUGUUUUUCAGCAGCAGAAGCUGUUGCGUUUCGCUUCCUCCAAGCAGGAGCUAAUAAUGAGCUACCAAUAACGAUCUACCGUGUGGACUAAUAAGGAGGCUGUCUUGCUAUUUUGUCAAAGCAUUUUUUUUUUCCUGAAAAAAGACCCUUGCAUAUAAUGAAGUGCUGUAAGUGGAAUGCUGCUUGGUGUCUGGGGUGCUUGGUUGCUCUUCCUUUUUCUAAGACAGGUAGAAAAGUAUGCUGGAAUUGUAAAAAUGAGUGGUCAUUUUACAGUAGAAGCGAAAAACCUGACAUCGAUGUGCAAGCAAGAUACACUAAGUUAUACACUAAGUCUGGAAUGCUUUUCCCUUGAGUCCUCUCUAUCCUGGGAGAAGUGCUAUAUCAAGGCAAUCUCCAUUCACGCUUGUACUGCUGGACCAUCACAAAGCAGCUGAAGCAAACUGGCAAAACUCCCUUCAGAGGUUGUCGACCACAUGGCUGCACAGGACCCUGCAAUGCUGUGCUUAAAAAAGCAAUCAAAUUCAAGUCAGCUUGCUUGUUGUGGGUAUUUUCUGGGAACUGUUUAUUACCAUGCCACAUCUGCUGACCAAUUUUUGCAUAAUAAACCUCUGAAAAUUAAACUCAGCUUCACUGGUGUAUAAGAAUUAGACGUGGCAGACAUAGCUCUAUUCAACCGCUUCUGAGGAUUAGCUUCAAAAAUCAAAUUAAAAUGAAGCAAGCCCAAAUAGACCAGGUAAUCCCACACUGAGUUGCCACACCCAUUCAUAUUCACCAUCCAUCAUCUGUGCCUCUUGCAUUUUAUAUUACUAAUAUGAGGCAUCUCUGCAAGUAGUAUUACAGUGCACCUACUCCAUACAGUAAGGGUGAGAAACUCAUUAUAUAUAUGGCACAUUAAUACAUUAAGGUUGCAAGGCCUUAGUGACACAAGUAUUCCUACUUAAGUAAAAAUUCUACUUCUUUAUUCACUUCCAAAGCUGAGGGGAAACUACAUGAUUUUUACCUUAGAGUUUGAGGUAAAGAAGGUGAAGGUGAGACAUACAACGCUCUCCAAGCAGCACUGUGUGCUGUGACUUGCAGAAAUGGCCAUAGGACUGUGUUUCAUACCUUAACAGUCAUUAUUUUUAGUUAUUUUUCUCAACUGUGUGUAAAGGUAAAUAUUUAAAUUUAUAUUUAUAUAUAUAUAUAAAAACAACAUUGAGCACAAUAAAGUAUUUCUCUAAAGAAGUAUUCUAAAGCAAUAAAUGCAGACCUAUUUCUGAGCAUUUACACUAACGGCUGUAAAGAAAGACAAUACAAAACACUGAUGGAAUUUAACACACAACUGCUGAAAUGCAGGAAACACAACUUGAUUUACCAAAUUAACAACACCCACUGCAUUAAAUGAGCAGGGAAAAGUACACACUGUCAACAGGAUGUCUGUGCAGUUCUUUAUUUCUCUUUUAUACAGCAAAGUGCCAAACGCAAGCCAAAUAUCUUUAUUAUAUAUGGAGUCACACUGGAGGUCAUUAGCCUCAAAUUAGAAACGUACAACUGAAAUAUUGCUAAAUACCUCUCCCGAGACGAGAAAGAGUAAAGGAAAAGGAACUGUGUAAGCAAUUUAAAAGGCAGCUUCUGUGACAGAAAUACAGCUGUAGUGGUGCUUUGGAAGGGCGUACCAACGCUGCCUAACCCACACUGGGCGAAGAACAGCGAGGUGUUUUGCAGUGCUAUUCCCGAUUAAGACGAUAAGAACAUGAACAGAACAGUUCGGGGCUGCACUUCCUGAGUAUGCAGAUAGUACCACGAAACAAGCAAAGUGAAGGA